rnacentral:rRNA from 1 species
UACAGAGGGUGCAAGCGUUGUUCGGAAUUAUUGGGCGUAAAGGGCGUGUAGGCGGUCUGCUAAGUCAUGUGUGAAAUCCCUCGGCUUAACCGAGGAACGACGCAUGAAACUGGCAAGCUAGAGUACCAAAGAGGGGGGUGGAAUUCCCGGUGUAGCGGUGAAAUGCGUAGAUAUCUGGAGGAACACCGGUGGCGAAGGCGGCAUCCUGGACCAAUAUUGACGCUGAGGAGCGAAAGCCAGGGGAGCAAACGGG